CCUACGGGAGGCAGCAGUAGGGAAUAUUGCUCAAUGGGGGAAACCCUGAAGCAGCAACGCCGCGUGGAUGAUGAAGGUUUUAGGAUUGUAAACCCCUUUUGUGAGAGAAGAUAAUGACGGUAUCUCACGAAUAAGCACUGGCUAACUCCGUGCCAGCAGCCGCGGUAAUACGGAGGGUGCAAGCGUUACUCGGAUUCACUGGGCGUAAAGGGAGCGCAGGCGGGCUUGUAAGUCAGAUGUGAAAUCCUGUGGUUUAACUGCAGAAGUGCAUUUGAAACUGUGAGACUAGAGUGUGGAAGAGGUAGGUGGAAUUCAUGGUGUAGGGGUGAAAUGCGUAGAUAUCAAGAAGAAUACUCAUUGCGAAGGCGACCUACUGG
rnacentral:rRNA from 1 species